GAGAGAUAAACCUCAGUCGAUAAUUGGUAAAGAUAUUUAAUUUUACUAUCUGUCGGUAACAGAACGGAAUCAACGAAAUGCAGAUCUUAAAUAAAUUCGUUGCAAUUGCUACUCUAACGUUCCUGUUAGCACUCGUAGUUGAACAAAGUUUCUCGCAUCCAACCAAUGACGAAGGAGAAUUGCGAAUCGUCAAACGCGGAAUUUUCGACUGUCCUCAUAAUUGCUGGGGGAGUGCUAACAACGCUCGUAAUCGAUGCGGUGAUAGCCACUGUUUCAUCCGUACGUUUCAUGGAGCGUGCUUCUGCUGUGAUCGGAGUAAAAAUGGUAAACGAGAAAUUUAUGGGGACCAGUGUGCAUAAGCUUGAAUAAAUUCAAUAACUUCUUGAGAACUACAGGAACAUCUACGGACUAUGAAAAGGAACUGUAGCAAUAAAAUAUUCUCCUAAUUGUCAAAGAAACCUAUCUGAAUUAAAUAAAAAUUUAGAAACGGCUGACAUCAGUCGCAAAUUGCUUGAGACAAACAAAA